rnacentral:lncRNA from 1 species
CGCCCCUGACUGUUUCUGGAAUGGCUUUUUUCAUGAUCAUCAUACACAUGCGAUUUGAUCUCUCCCACCUUUCCAUCUCCCUCUUUUAAUUAGAGGAACUCGUAUCUGUAAUAGGUGGUGUAGAAUCAAUUAUUAACGCAAGGUGGAGAUCCAUGACUCCGAGAACUAUAUUGAGGUUCUCUUGCCAUGACUUGAAGUUAGUACAAUUUAACAUAUGAAUUGAAUUGAUGUUGGCAGUAAUAUUUGCAAGAGUAAUUUCAGCUGAAUCAGAGAACAAUAAAUAACAAAAUAAGCUCACAUAUACUUAAAAUCAAAAUCAAAAUAAAUUUGAAUAAAGGUAAACUUCAUCUCAAGGUACCGGUCAUUCCAUUAAUAUUUCAUCUUUGGACAAAAUAUUAACUUGUAAGUAGUAUCUUGGUGUACUAAUCAAACAUUGAUAUUAAAGAACAUGUCGAAUAUUAAAUCUUCCUUUGGGCCAAUUUAUUAUUCACACGAACCAAAUAACUAUCACGUAUUUACUACCACAAGAUGCACAUGUAAUUCUGAUAAAUAUUGACCUUCUUUGGGUUGAUCAAUAUUCACAUAAAUUACACACACAACCUUUUAUAUUUCAAAAUAAAUAAAUUUUCACAAGAGAAAUCACUUUAGUGACAUCAAGUUUCAAAUUUAUUUAUCUCAAGAUAUAUAUAACCAUACCAAUAUUCAAAUUUAAAUUCAUCAAAAACAAAAACAUAUAAGUCUCGAAAAUAAACUAAAUUAUGGUGGGCCAAAAAAAAACUGAAUUAAAGAUGCUGCCAGUAUUUUAUUCUUAAGAAGAGAUUGAAACCAUAACCUUGAAUAGAAAUAAUUCUACUCAACUGACAUUUAACGUAUAACAUAGUGCAGUGACAAAGUUUCAUAUUGUCAACCAAACAUUAGUAACUGGAACACCAAAUUAAGAUUUAAAAAAAAAACUAUGCUAUGGCCAAAUAUCUCCGUUAGAACAGUGAACAAUAUCGAGUGAAUUGCAAAGAUUCAUGUUACAAUCAUAUAAUCCAAAGUAAAUCCCUUUCUGUCAGCAUCCAGAGAAGAAAAAAUAUUAAUAAAACCUAAAUUCUUUGCCUCAACAUUCUUUAAUUACUUAAACCUAAAUUAAACAAAAGAAAAUAAUAAUAAAACAACCAAAGUAAAUUAAUCAAAUAGCAGUAAAAUUAUCUUUUCUGACAGCAAAGAAAGGAGGACAAAAGCCUCCAUUCCUUGAAGUGUUUACAGUCACAAAUUCGGCAGCUUCAAAUCCUGAUGGUAGCCUUUAGAUUCAUGGCUCACGGUAAUUUAACAAUGAGCCUUACCUUAAUCAAUAACGGCACAUAAAUUAGUAAAUGACUAAACUAAGGUUUUUCUAACCAAACGAAAGCUUUUUCAUAAACGUUUUUACUAAAGAGAUUUCCCAAUGAAUCAACACGACGAAGGAUGUGAUACCAAUUGUCAUAACCAAAAUGCUUCGGAGAUAAAUCCUUCGUCUUUUAACCAAGUACUAUCAUAUUAAAUCAUCAAGAAUUAAUACUAGGUAGAUACAGAAGCAUACCUAAAUCCAUGUGAACCGGUGAAACUUGUCGUCUUUGCGGGUUAUUGAUCUUCUAAACCAAGACAUAAGCCGUAAUCGUGUUUCUAACGAUGGGAUGC